GAUGAACGCUAGCGGCAGGCCUAACACAUGCAAGUCGAGGGAGAAGCCCUUUCGGGGGCCGAAACCGGCGCACGGGUGCGUAACGCGUAUGCAACCUACCUUUCACAGGGGGAUAGCCCGAAGAAAUUUGGAUUAAUACCCCAUAAUAUUAUUGGAUGGCAUCAUUUGAUAAUUAAAACUGCGGUGGUGAAAGAUGGGCAUGCGUCCUAUUAGCUAGUUGGAGUGGUAACGGCACCCCAAGGCUACGAUAGGUAGGGGUCCUGAGAGGGAGAUCCCCCACACUGGUACUGAGACAGGGACCAGACUCCUACGGGAGGCAGCAGUGAGGAAGAUUGGUCAAUGGUCGGAAGACUGAACCAGCCAUGCCGCGUGCAGGAAGAAUGCCUUAUGGGUUGUAAACUGCUUUUAUAGGGGAAGAAUAAGGCGUACGUGUACGUUGAUGACGGUACCAUAUGAAUAAGCAUCGGCUAACUCCGUG
rnacentral:rRNA from 1 species